GAUGAAGAACGUAGCGAAACGCGAUAUGUAAUGUGAAUUGCAGAAUUCAGUGAAUCAUCGAAUCUUUGAACGCACAUGGCGCCUUCCAGUAUCCUGGGAGGCAUGCCUGUCCGAGCGUCGUUUCAACCCUCGAGCCCCCGUGGCCCGGCGUUGGGGAUCUGCCACGGCAGGCCCCUAAAACCAGUGGCGGACCCGAAGGCCCUCUCCUUUGCGCAGUAGCAUCAGCCUCGCAUUGGGAUCCCUCGGCGUCCUACCUCUAAACCCCCCACAAGUCCGCUCCGGCGGCACCAAGGUUGACCUCGGAUCAGGUAGGAAUACCCGCUGAACUUAAGCAUAUCAAUAAGCGGAGGA
rnacentral:misc_RNA from 1 species